CCCAUAUCACGUUGAAACACUGGUUUCCAUACGAUCACCGAAGUUAAGCAACGUCAAACCUAGUCAGUACCUAGAUGGGUGACCGCUUGAGAAUACUAGGUGCU